GUGGGGCGAGCGCCCGUUCCCAUAACUCCUGAGCAAGGCAGGAAACUUCCUCAGGAAGCAGGUGAGCCAGGCCAGGUUUGAUCGCAGUUCCAGGCACCAAUUAUGGACCAGCUUGCUUGAACCAAUUAAAGUGUGCAGGAGCUGAGGUUAAGAGAUCAUGGGCAGGUGACCGGCUCUCUGAACUUUCUCCACAGCCCACAAGGUGUAAGCAGGCAGAGCUUAAAAGAGAUCCAUCCAGAUGUGUUUGCAACCAGGCCCUGACCCUGAGAAGUGAGCUUCUGGGAUAGGAGGCCAGUUCCUGAGGCCUAAGAACCCAGUCCAUCAUGGCUCCGAGUAUCUGAGCAUUUUGUCCCCAGUUGGUGC